UACGUAGGGUGCAAGCGUUAAUCGGAAUUACUGGGCGUAAAGUGUGCGUAGACGGUUAUUUAAGUCGGGUGUGAAAGCCCCGGGCUCAACCUGGGAAUUGCAUUCGAGACUGAAUAGCUAGGGUACGGUAGAGGGAAGUGGAAUUUCCGGUGUAGCGGUGAAAUGCGUAGAUAUCGGAAGGAACAUCAGUGGCGAAAGCGACUUCCUGGACCAGUACCGACGUUCAGGCACGAAAGCGUGGGGAGCAAACAGG
rnacentral:rRNA from 1 species